UAAUUUGCAAUUUUCUUCCGGUAGCGGUUAUGAGACAUCGCGAAGUUUGUUGAUCGUUAGCUUGAAUAUAAACGUGAAAAAUGUGAGUAUUUUAUUGACGAAGAUAAUUAAGACUGGAUGAAGGCGAAAUCGUAAUAAUGGCUUAAGAUCGCGGACAGUUUGAAGGGGCUCACCCGGAAUGGACAGCCUAUAUAAAUAUCCCCUCCAGGGGACGAGAAGACUCGGUGCAAACGAGUGAUCCAGGAGAAAGCCUCUCAUUCGAUUGGCCCCACGAACCGGUAUAACCGAGACAAUUCCAGAUUAUUUGCAGACAGAAAGCAAGUCAGCCAUUCUGCUCGCCGAACUCGAUUUGUGCACGAAUUCGACGCAAGCAACGCGAUGUAUCGAUUACACGUUGCGAUCUAAUGGGUCACGAAACACUAUCGAACUAUAAAUACUUAGCUAUAAUCGAUAUCAAUUGAUGUGCUCGUCGAUCAGGAAGAUUUAAUCGAAACUCAUAGUGGCUGCUGGUUUGGCGAAUCCUCUAUACAUUCGAAAGCAAAAACGAAACAUUAGUGAAAGGAAAGCUAUUAAACUUUAAACUACAGAGAGAAGCACUCAUACGAUCCUAGUAAUAAUUCAACGUGGUUAAAUACCAAUCAGGAAAAUUUAGCAACGACCGGUUUAUCGGAUCGUUCUAAACGUAAAACUGUUCUUCGAACUUCUAGAGCAGAAAAGAAAAUUGCCUGUAUAUACCGGUGCGUAGACUCAUUGCUAGUUAAGCAUCUUUAAUGUAAACUUUACAAACAACAUUUUAUUAAUGUCUAAUUAUGCGCGAAAACAUCGUUCGAACUGCAAUAAAAUCCUAAUUGUUUUCUAAUCUUACACAUUUUCUUCCAUAUUUGCCGUACAGAUAUUACAGAAACUAUUUUGGUUACCUACUUUCUACAUAGACUUAACCUUUCUUACGUUUUUGCAUACUAAUCAUUCAUACUAAAAGAUCCCAAAUAUAGAAGAAUAUUUUUUUCAACUUCCUACA